UGAUCCCACUCCUGAUCAGACCCACGUCAUCGUCGGGGUGGUGGUCGUGGCGCUGGCGGUGCUGGUCGUCAUCGCUGUUGUUUUCAUCAAAUACAGGAAGAGAGCCAGAGAGACAGAGGAUGCUCCGAAAUCCUCCCAGCAACCGGGUGAGCCAGAGAGCAAUCUGACCUAUGUGACCGUGGAUCAUGCCAAUCAUCAGGCCUCUCCCUUCAGAAAGGUCAAAGAGGAUGUGACGUACUCCACAGUCAAACACGCUGGUGAAGACAGAAGCGGCCGAUGAUUGCAGCAGCGUCUACAGCCAGAAAUAAACCAGAGGAAGUGAAACCUCAUAAAGUCAUGUUAAUAAAACAUGCGCUCACUGUGUUCUAUAUGUGUCAGCGAGCGCCUCAGCUUUCUUAUCAAACUUUGUUUACUUUACUUCGGGACUAUCUGUGCUUCACCUUCACACUGUGGACCUUGUGUGGUUCUUUCACUGAGUCGGUUUAUGAUUUUAAAAAGAUGUGAAGAGUGAAUGAAACAGAAUGGUUGUUAUUUUAUCAUGAGUGGAAAGAGAAAUGUCUUUGCUGCAGAUUGCAUCUUUGCAGAAAGUGGAUUUUUUUGGGGGGGGAGAAGCAGACUUUUUUGUGUUUUAGUUUGUCCAAAAAUUAAGUUCAAGUCCAGUUUUAGUAGAGUUUUAUAUUGUAUUUUGUUACAGAUUUGUAUUACAGCAUUCAAAGGUAGGAUUCAGCUUUUAACAGGUUGACUGUGAGCCUAACUUUUACAGUUUUAUUAUAUGUGGCUCGUCAAGGCAUUUUAUUAUGUUGUAUUUUUGUGUCAUAUUGCGUUUUUGCAACUACGAUAUCAAAUGUUGUUCUCCAUUAUGUUAUGUUAUUAUGUUCAGCUUGGCCAGUACUAUAAAAUAAAAGUGACUCAC